UACAGAGGCCCCGAGCGUUGUUCGGAUUCACUGGGCGUAAAGGGUGCGUAGGUGGUGAGGAAAGUCGGAUGUGAAAUCUCCAAGCUCAACUUGGAAAUGGCAUUGGAAACUACCUUGCUGGAGGUUUGGAGGGGGGACUGGAAUACUUGGUGUAGCAGUGAAAUGCGUAGAUAUCAAGUGGAACACCAGUGGCGAAGGCGAGUCCCUGGACAACACCUGACGCUCAUGCACGAAAGCGUGGGGAGCAAACAGG
rnacentral:rRNA from 1 species